rnacentral:misc_RNA from 1 species
GAUGAAGAACGUAGCGAAAUGCGAUAAGUAAUGUGAAUUGCAGAAUUCAGUGAAUCAUCGAAUCUUUGAACGCACAUUGCGCCCCCCGGCAUUCCGGGGGGCAUGCCUGUUCGAGCGUCUCCAGGACGAAUCCUCGCGCGAGUGAACGCGCGGUCGUGGCGGAGGUGGCGUGCCCGAGCAGGGGGGCCACCGCGCUGGAAUCCAUGGGCGGACGCCUGCCGCGUGGCCGAGCGUGAUAUGACGCAUUGGCGCUCGUGCGCGGCGAGGCUGCCAGCCCUGGCCCGUCUGUCGGGCGGGGUAGAUCACCACGUGGGAACUCCUCGAAUCAGGUAGGGAUACCCGCUGAACUUAAGCAUAUCAAUAAGCGGAGGA